rnacentral:rRNA from 1 species
CCGAAGCUAUGGCUUGAUGCUUGCAUCAGGGGUAGGGGAGCGUUGUAUGCGGGUUGAAGGUUGACUGCAAGGACAGCUGGACUGCAUACAAGUGAGAAUGCCGGUAUGAGUAACGAAAAGAUCAGUGAGAAUCUGAUCCGCCGAAAGCCCAAGGUUUCCUGAGGAAGGCUCGUCCGCUCAGGGUCAGUCGGGACCUAAGGCGAGGCCGACAGGCGUAGUCGAAGGACAACAGGUUGAUAUUCCUGUACCACCAUAAUCCGUUAUGAGCAAUGGGGGGACGCAGGAGGGUAGUGACGCGGACUGAUGGAUGUCCGUCCAAGCAGUGAGGCUGAUGCGUAGGCAAAUCCGCGCAUCGUAAGGCCAGGCUGUGAUGGGGAGCGAAAACUAUAGUAGCGAAGGUCAUGAUCUCACACUGCCAAGAAAAGCCUCUAGCCAGGAGAAGGUGCCCGUACCGCAAACCGACACAGGUAGGCGAGAAGAGAAUUCUAAGGCGCGCGGAAGAACUCUCGUUAAGGAACUCGGCAAAAUGACCCCGUAACUUCGGGAGAAGGGGUGCCUCGGUAGGGUGAAUAGCCCGAGGGGGGCCGCAGUGAAAAGGCCCAAGCGACUGUUUAGCAAAAACACAGGUCUGUGCGAAGCCGCAAGGCGAAGUAUACGGGCUGACGCCUGCCCGGUGCUGGAAGGUUAAGGGGAGCGGUUAGGGGUAACCCGAAGCUGUGAACCGAAGCCCCAGUAAACGGCGGCCGUAACUAUAACGGUCCUAAGGUAGCGAAAUUCCUUGUCAGGUAAAUUCUGACCCGCACGAAUGGCGUAACGACUUGGGCGCUGUCUCAACGAGAGAUCCGGUGAAAUUUUAAUACCUGUGAAGAUGCAGGUUACCCGCGACAAGACGGAAAGACCCCAUGGAGCUUUACUGCAGCUUGAUAUUGAACUUGGGUACGAUCUGUACAGGAUAGGUGGGAGCCUUGGAAGCCGGAGCGCCAGCUUCGGUGGAGGCGCCGUUGGGAUACCACCCUGAUCGUAUCUAGGUUCUAACCUGGUACCCUAAACGGGUACGGGGACCGUGUCAGGCGGGCAGUUUGACUGGGGCGGUCGCCUCCUAAAGAGUAACGGAGGCGUCCCAAGGUUCCCUCAGAAUGGUUGGAAAUCAUUCGAAGAGUGCAAAGGCAGAAGGGAGCUUGACUGCGAGACCUACAAGUCGAGCAGGGACGAAAGUCGGGCUUAGUGAUCCGGUGGUACCGCAUGGAAGGGCCAUCGCUCAACGGAUAAAAGCUACCCUGGGGAUAACAGGCUUAUCUCCCCCAAGAGUCCACAUCGACGGGGAGGUUUGGCACCUCGAUGUCGGCUCAUCGCAUCCUGGGGCUGAAGUAGGUCCCAAGGGUUGGGCUGUUCGCCCAUUAAAGCGGUACGCGAGCUGGGUUCAGAACGUCGUGAGACAGUUCGGUCCCUAUCUGUCGUGGGCGUAGGAAAUUUGAGAGGAGCUGUCCUUAGUACGAGAGGACCGGGAUGGACGUACCGCUGGUGCACCAGUUGUUCCGCCAGGAGCAUGGCUGGGUAGCUACGUACGGACGGGAUAAGCGCUGAAAGCAUCUAAGCGUGAAGCCCCCCUCAAGAUGAGAUUUCCCAGUAUGUAAGACCCCUUGAAGACGACGAGGUAGAUAGGUUGGAGGUGGAAGCACGGCAACGUGUGGAGCUGACCAAUACUAAUCGGUCGAGGGCUUAUCCA